rnacentral:rRNA from 1 species
GGGCCACAAGCCUGAUCCAGCAAUUCUGUGUGCACGAUGAAGGUCUUCGGAUUGUAAAGUGCUUUCAGUUGGGAAGAAGAAAGUGACGGUACCAACAGAAGAAGCGACGGCUAAAUACGUGCCAGCAGCCGCGGUAAUACGUAUGUCGCAAGCGUUAUCCGGAUUUAUUGGGCGUAAAGCGCGUCUAGGCGGAAAAAUAAGUCUGAUGUUAAAAUGCGGGGCUCAACUCCGUAUUGCGUUGGAAACUGUUGUUCUAAAUACUGGAGAGGUGAGCGGAACUACAAGUGUAGAGGUGAAAUUCUUAUAUAUUUGUCAGAAUGCCUAUGGGAGAAUCUUCUUC